rnacentral:tRNA from 1 species
UCCACCAUAGCUCAGUUGGUAGUAGCGCAUGACUGUUAAUCAUGAUGUCGUAGGUUCGAGUCCUACUGGCGGAGCUA